UACAUGAAGUACAGUUACAAGUCAUGUAUUUUUUCGACUGCAAUAUUAAAUGCUUUCACGUCACAUGUAAAAGUACACAGGAAUGUGGCUGAUCACUUUUUAUUUGUAGUUUACCUGAGUGGCACUUUUCAGGAGUUAAGGCAGAUGUGGAGGCACAACGGGUGAUACCAGACACACACCAAGCACAUUAUGUUCGGACAUUCAAUCAUGACAUGAUCCAGGUGGAUGCUGUCCAUUGAGGAAAGAGUUUGUUCCGAGGUUUCUGGAUAGAAUUAAUUCCAAAGAUGGGAAAAAGUGCACAUCCAGACAAGGAGCAAGCAAAAAGACAAGGAACUUGGUGCAGAGAAAAGCUGUGGCCAUUAACCCCUGUGAACAGCUUCAUGCAGUCCCUGAUUGAGUUCGAAUGGACGACUUCAAAGUAAAGGCCACUGUGGUCUGUCUGCCACAGUUUAAUUUUUAAUUUAUUUUUAGUGUUAAAUGAAAUUCAAGUAGAAUAUUUAAAACUAUGGGCCAGUGUUGUUUUUACCACAGUGAAAUGUUACCUUUUAGUCGAUGAUGGACAUUAAACUGAAAACUUCAAACUAUGGACCAGUGUUCUAUUUGCCAGAGUUAAAUAUGUUACAGCA